AGUGAACGCUGGCGGUAGGCCUAACACAUGCAAGUCGAACGGCAGCACAGUAAGAGCUUGCUCUUACGGGUGGCGAGUGGCGGACGGGUGAGGAAUACAUCGGAAUCUACUUUUUCGUGGGGGAUAACGUAGGGAAACUUACGCUAAUACCGCAUACGACCUACGGGUGAAAGCAGGGGAUCUUCGGACCUUGCGCGAUUGUAUGAGCCGAUGUCGGAUUAGCUAGUUGGCAGGGUAAAGGCCCACCAAGGCGACGAUCCGUAGCUGAUCUGAGAGGAUGAUCAGCCACACUGGAACUGAGACACGGUCCAGACUCCUACGGGAGGCAGCAGUAGGGAAUAUUGGACAAUGGGCGCAAGCCUGAUCCAGCCAUACCGCGUGGGUGAAGAAGGCCGUCGGGUUGUAAAGCCCUUUUGUUGGGAAAGAAAAGCAGCAGGUUAACACGUCGCUGUUCUGACGGUACCCAAAGAAAAAGCACCGGCUAACUUCGUG
rnacentral:rRNA from 1 species